AAAUGUGGCAUGAAUGUCAGAUGUUGACAGGAGUGUGUUGUUGUCUCUCUGCUGUUAGGAGACUCUUGGGGUGUCUUCUCUGCAUUUCAUCAUGCAGUGGUUUCUCACUCUCUUCACCUCGCUGCCAUGCUGGGAUUCAGUAUUGGCCAUUUGGGAUCUUAUCAUGCUGCAUGGUCUGCAGGCUGUAUUUCGCACCGGCCUCACCAUCAUCCGGCUGAUCGAGUCUCGUAACAUGAACAUGAGUGAGGAGGCCACAGUACUGCCCGUUCUGCUGCGAGUGCCUGUGGAUGUCUCCCAGCAUUGUGGCCUGAUCCCAGCCCUCUGGAACACUGAUGUUCAGGAAUGGGAAAUCAACUGCAUGAACCGCCUAGUCUUGGAGGAGGCCGAUGGCAGACAUGAUGAAGAGAAAGUGAAAAAAGAAAGCACAAAAGACUGUACAAGUUCUCUCAGCGAUGGACAACAAGAUGAAAAACCUUCACAAGAAGUUGGCAGGAACACUUCCAAGAAAGCAGCUCCAGGCUCUAGCACUAAAAAUGUUUUCACACGGCUGCUGAAAGUGGCUCAGCAUUACCUUUUGGAAUCGGGGAAGUACAGUGCGCCUGCCAGGUCUUCUCCUGCCAAGAGGAGCCCUGCCCUCGGCCGUCUCCCCAAAACCAGAAUCUCCACCUCCUUCACUCAGGCACAGGGUCGAACCAGGAGGAGCAGUAGCAGGCGUUCCCAAAAUUCCACUCUGGGUGGGGUGAAGAAGGAGCAGCUCCCUUCUCAAGAUUCUGAUGGAGGUGCUGCUGAAGACAGGUGUGUGAAAGAAAUAAAGACAGAACGCUAAACAAUCUGGCCCCUUUUGUGUUUAAAUAGGUUUAGUUCAAGAAGGAGCAGCUCCCUUCUCAAGAUUCUGAUGGAGGUGCUGCUGAAGACAGGUGUGUGAAAGAAAUAAAGACAAAACGCUAAACAAU
rnacentral:lncRNA from 1 species